rnacentral:lncRNA from 1 species
CUUGUCUCUGGGAACAUGGCUCACUGUUCUGUCCCUUGUAGAGUUUCCUACUGGGUCUCUGGAGCAAGACUCAUUCAACCAAAACAGGCUGCCUUUCAUGGCCCCACAGUCCUUUAUAAGACUUGCCUUGGUCAUGGUGUCUGUUCACAGCAGUAAAACCCUAAGACACGUGGUUACAAUCAGCUAUUAUCUGCUUUGCAGGUGCUGGGAACCAAAUCUGGGUCCACAACAAAAGCAUCAGGCACUCCCAACUACUGAGCCAGCUCUCCAGCUUAAUUUUGGGUUUUUGAGAGAGAGAGAGGGAGAGAGAGAGAGAGAGAGAGAGAGAGAGAGAGAGAGAGAGAGAGAGUCUCAUGUAGUUUGUGGUGACUUCUGAAUGAAAAAAAAGAAAGAAAGAAAGAAGGAGGAUAUGACCCACUCCUAAGGGGUUGUUUUUAUUCCAGAUACAAGGGCGAGCACAGGCAGAAGCAGAGACGUCUGGGAGAAUCCAGAGUGGACAGGACCAUGACUGACCAACUAGCUCUGCCCAAAGCUGGGCUGUGAACUGAAUUGGGCAGAACUGGAAUUUAUGAUUUGAGCACUUCCACACAAACCUCCUUCACACCACCCUGCUCUGCAGUGAAAGUCUAAGAAGCUGAGAGGAACUAAGUCCUGAGAGGGAACCAGUCCCUGAAGCACGUGGUGAGCAUAAGAAAAACAACAAAGCUUCAUCCAGCAUCCACAGCACCAGCACACGUGACUGCUGCAGCGGCCACUGAGAGCGAGAGGGAAAUAUCAGGUGUGGGCUUUCAGCAUUUAGAUCCUGGGGAGGCGCUCUGGCUGCUCUCUCACUGCAGGCUCUUUAUGCCACCAGUCAACAAACAGCAGCCUCUGUUGGAAAGGCUCCUUCGAUGUUCUCAAGGACACAGCGCUAUUUUAAAAUUUCUUCAGCAGUUUUACCGUUUUCCUCUCACUCCUGGACAACAGACCCCGGAAGACACUUGGAAAAAAAUU